rnacentral:rRNA from 1 species
GAUGAACGCUGGCGGCGUGCCUAAUACAUGCAAGUCGAGCGAACAGACGAGGAGCUUGCUCCUCUGACGUUAGCGGCGGACGGGUGAGUAACACGUGGAUAACCUACCUAUAAGACUGGGAUAACUUCGGGAAACCGGAGCUAAUACCGGAUAAUAUAUUGAACCGCAUGGUUCAAUAGUGAAAGACGGUUUUGCUGUCACUUAUAGAUGGAUCCGCGCCGCAUUAGCUAGUUGGUAAGGUAACGGCUUACCAAGGCAACGAUGCGUAGCCGACCUGAGAGGGUGAACGGCCACACUGGAACUGAGACACGGUCCAGACUCCUACGGGAGGCAGCAGUAGGGAAUCUUCCGCAAUGGGCGAAAGCCUGAAGGAGCAACGCCGCGUGAGUGAUGAAGGUCUUCGGAUCGUAAAACUCUGUUAUUAGGGAAGAACAAAUGUGUAAGUAACUAUGCACGUCUUGACGGUACCUAAUCAGAAAGCCACGGCUAACUACGUG